GACGAACGCUGGCGGCGUGCUUAACACAUGCAAGUCGAACGGAAAGGCCCUGCUUUUGUGGGUGCUCGAGUGGCGAACGGGUGAGUAACACGUGAGUAACCUGCCCUUGACUUUGGGAUAACUUCAGGAAACUGGGGCUAAUACCGGAUAGGAGCUCCUGCUGCAUGGUGGGGGUUGGAAAGUUUCGGCGGUUGGGGAUGGACUCGCGGCUUAUCAGCUUGUUGGUGGGGUAGUGGCUUACCAAGGCUUUGACGGGUAGCCGGCCUGAGAGGGUGACCGGCCACAUUGGGACUGAGAUACGGCCCAGACUCCUACGGGAGGCAGCAGUGGGGAAUAUUGCACAAUGGGCGGAAGCCUGAUGCAGCAACGCCGCGUGCGGGAUGACGGCCUUCGGGUUGUAAACCGCUUUCGCCUGUGACGAAGCGUGAGUGACGGUAAUGGGUAAAGAAGCGCCGGCUAACUACGUG
rnacentral:rRNA from 1 species